rnacentral:rRNA from 1 species
AUCAACUUUCGAUGGUAGGAUAGAGGCCUACCAUGGUGGUAACGGGUAACGGGGUGUUAGGGCACGACACCGGAGAGGGAGCCUGAGAAACGGCUACCACAUCCAAGGAUGGCAGCAGGCGCGCAAAUUACCCAAUCCCGACACGGGGAGGUAGUGACAAUAAAUAACAAUACGGGGUCCUUUCGGGUUUCGUAAUUGGAAUGAGUACAAUUUAAAUCUCUUAACGAGGAACAAUUGGAGGGCAAGUCUGGUGCCAGCAGCCGCGGUAAUUCCAGCUCCAAUAGCGUAUAUUAAAGUUGUUGCAGUUAAAAAGCUCGUAGUUGAAUUUCGGGAUCAAUAUAUCGGUCGUGCCUUUGGUACGCACUGGUAUUAUUGAUUUCUACCUUCUGACGAAUUAUGAUGUCAUUAAUUUGGUGUCAUGAGGAAUCAGGACUGUUACUUUGAAAAAAUUAGAGUGUUUAAAGCAGGCACACGCUUGAAUACAUUAGCAUGGAAUAAUGAAAUAGGACGUUUGAUCUUAUUUUGUUGGUUUCUAGGAUCGACGUAAUGAUUAAUAGGGAUAGUUGGGGGCAUUAGUAUUCAAUUGUCAGAGGUGAAAUUCUUGGAUUUAUUGAAGACUAACUACUGCGAAAGCAUUUGCCAAGGAUGUUUUCAUUAAUCAAGAACGAAAGUUAGGGGAUCGAAGACGAUCAGAUACCGUCGUAGUCUUAACCAUAAACUAUGCCGACUAGGGAUCGGAUGAUGUUAAUUUUUUAAUGACUCAUUCGGCGCCCUACGGGAAACCAAAGUGUUUGGGUUC